AGAGUUUACCUUUCUAUACCAGUACUGAUAACAAUUUUCAUUCAUAGAAGUUUACUAUUUCCUUGUUUGUUUUUUUUAUGUUGCAGGAAUAGCCAUUGUUGUAAUUGUAUAGCCACACAUUUAUAAUGAUGCUAUGACAAAAUUGGAUUUAUAAACUGACAAAUGUCAUUCAAAAAUUGUUUAAAAGUUUAAGCAUUUAUUGCUUUUAGAAACUCUUAUCAUGGAUGACAUGAAGCAUGACUUUACUAAUGAACUUAAAACUAUCCUAAAAAGUGAGAAGAUAGAUUGGUCGUUAGAAUCAGAAAUGACUGACGAUACUUCUAUGUAUGAAACUUCUAAAUUAAGUUUAGAAGAACAGACACAGAAAUCUGAUGAACAAAUUCAUUCAAUGCCAAUGAUAGAUGAGUUGAAACAAGACUUUACCAAUGAUCUAUGCAAUGUUAUGAAAAAUGAGAAGACAGAAUUGUCUUUACUUCCAGAGACAUCUGGAUGCAGCUUCAUUGGUCAAACCUGGGAAUCAAUUUUAUCAGAG
rnacentral:sRNA from 1 species